rnacentral:rRNA from 1 species
AUUGAACGCUGGCGGCAUGCCUUACACAUGCAAGUCGAGCGCGAAAGGGGGCAACCCCGAGUAGAGCGGCGGACGGGUGAGUAACACAUCGGAACGUGCCCAGUAGUGGGGGACAACCUCGAGAAAUCGAGGCUAAUACCGCAUACGACCCACGGGUGAAAGCGGGGGACCGCAAGGCCUCGCGCUAUUGGAGCGGCCGAUGUCCGAUUAGCUAGUUGGCGGGGUAAGAGCCCACCAAGGCGACGAUCGGUAGCUGGUCUGAGAGGACGACCAGCCACACUGGGACUGAGACACGGCCCAGACUCCUACGGGAGGCAGCAGUGGGGAAUCUUGCGCAAUGGGCGAGAGCCUGACGCAGCAAUGCCGCGUGGGGAUGAAGGCCUCGGU